GGGUUGUGAGGUUAAGCGACUAAGCGUACACGGUGGAUGCCCUGGCAGUCAGAGGCGAUGAAGGACGUGCUAAUCUGCGAAAAGCGUCGGUAAGGUGAUAUGAACCGUUAUAACCGGCGAUGUCCGAAUGGGGAAACCCAGUGCAAUUCGUUGCACUAUCGUUAACUGAAUACAUAGGUUAACGAGGCGAACCGGGGGAACUGAAACAUCUAAGUACCCCGAGGAAAAGAAAUCAACCGAGAUUCCCCCAGUAGCGGCGAGCGAACGGGGAGCAGCCCAGAGUCUGAAUCAGCUUGUGUGUUAGUGGAACGGUCUGGAAAGUCCGACGGUACAGGGUGAUAGUCCCGUACACCAAAAUGCACAGGCUGUGAACUCGAAGAGUAGGGCGGGACACGUGGUAUCCUGUCUGAAUAUGGGGGGACCAUCCUCCAAGGCUAAAUACUCCUGACUGACCGAUAGUGAACCAGUACCGUGAGGGAAAGGCGAAAAGAACCCCGGCGAGGGGAGUGAAAAAGAACCUGAAACCGUGUACGUACAAGCAGUGGGAGCACCUUCGGGUGUGACUGCGUACCUUUUGUAUAAUGGGUCAGCGACUUAUAUUCUGUAGCAAGGUUAACCGUAUAGGGGAGCCGCAGGGAAACCGAGUCUUAACUGGGCGUUAAGUUGCAGGGUAUAGACCCGAAACCCGGUGAUCUAGCCAUGGGCAGGUUGAAGGUUGGGUAACACUAACUGGAGGACCGAACCGACUAAUGUUGAAAAAUUAGCGGAUGACUUGUGGCUGGGGGUGAAAGGCCAAUCAAACCGGGAGAUAGCUGGUUCUCCCCGAAAGCUAUUUAGGUAGCGCCUCGUGAAUUCAUCUUCGGGGGUAGAGCACUGUUUCGGCUAGGGGGUCAUCCCGACUUACCAACCCGAUGCAAACUACGAAUACCGAAGAAUGUUAUCACGGGAGACACACGGCGGGUGCUAACGUCCGUCGUGAAGAGGGAAACAACCCAGACCGCCAGCUAAGGUCCCAAAGUCAUGGUUAAGUGGGAAACGAUGUGGGAAGGCACAGACAGCCAGGAUGUUGGCUUAGAAGCAGCCAUCAUUUAAAGAAAGCGUAAUAGCUCACUGGUCGAGUCGGCCUGCGCGGAAGAUGUAACGGGGCUAAACCAUGCACCGAAGCUGCGGCAGCGACACUAUGUGUUGUUGGGUAGGGGAGCGUUCUGUAAGCCUGCGAAGGUGACCUGUGAGGGUUGCUGGAGGUAUCAGAAGUGCGAAUGCUGACAUAAGUAACGAUAAAGCGGGUGAAAAGCCCGCUCGCCGGAAGACCAAGGGUUCCUGUCCAACGUUAAUCGGGGCAGGGUGAGUCGACCCCUAAGGCGAGGCCGAAAGGCGUAGUCGAUGGGAAACAGGUUAAUAUUCCUGUACUUGGUGUUACUGCGAAGGGGGGACGGAGAAGGCUAUGUUAGCCGGGCGACGGUUGUCCCGGUUUAAGCAUGUAGGCUGGUUGUCCAGGCAAAUCCGGAUAAUCAAGGCUGAGGUGUGAUGACGAGGCACUACGGUGCUGAAGUAACAAAUGCCCUGCUUCCAGGAAAAGCCUCUAAGCAUCAGGUAACAUCAAAUCGUACCCCAAACCGACACAGGUGGUCAGGUAGAGAAUACCAAGGCGCUUGAGAGAACUCGGGUGAAGGAACUAGGCAAAAUGGUGCCGUAACUUCGGGAGAAGGCACGCUGGUGUGUAGGUGAAGUCCCUGCGGAUGGAGCUGAGACCAGUCGAAGAUACCAGCUGGCUGCAACUGUUUAUUAAAAACACAGCACUGUGCAAACACGAAAGUGGACGUAUACGGUGUGACGCCUGCCCGGUGCCGGAAGGUUAAUUGAUGGGGUUAUCCGUAAGGAGAAGCUCUUGAUCGAAGCCCCGGUAAACGGCGGCCGUAACUAUAACGGUCCUAAGGUAGCGAAAUUCCUUGUCGGGUAAGUUCCGACCUGCACGAAUGGCGUAAUGAUGGCCAGGCUGUCUCCACCCGAGACUCAGUGAAAUUGAACUCGCUGUGAAGAUGCAGUGUACCCGCGGCAAGACGGAAAGACCCCGUGAACCUUUACUAUAGCUUGACACUGAACAUUGAGCCUUGAUGUGUAGGAUAGGUGGGAGGCUUUGAAGCGUGGACGCCAGUCUGCGUGGAGCCAACCUUGAAAUACCACCCUUUAAUGUUUGAUGUUCUAACGUUGGCCCCUGACCGGGGUUGCGGACAGUGUCUGGUGGGUAGUUUGACUGGGGCGGUCUCCUCCCAAAGCGUAACGGAGGAGCACGAAGGUUAGCUAAUCCUGGUCGGACAUCAGGAGGUUAGUGCAAUGGCAUAAGCUAGCUUGACUGCGAGCGUGACGGCGCGAGCAGGUGCGAAAGCAGGUCAUAGUGAUCCGGUGGUUCUGAAUGGAAGGGCCAUCGCUCAACGGAUAAAAGGUACUCCGGGGAUAACAGGCUGAUACCGCCCAAGAGUUCAUAUCGACGGCGGUGUUUGGCACCUCGAUGUCGGCUCAUCACAUCCUGGGGCUGAAGUAGGUCCCAAGGGUAUGGCUGUUCGCCAUUUAAAGUGGUACGCGAGCUGGGUUUAGAACGUCGUGAGACAGUUCGGUCCCUAUCUGCCGUGGGCGCUGGAGAAUUGAGGGGGGCUGCUCCUAGUACGAGAGGACCGGAGUGGACGCAUCACUGGUGUUCGGGUUGUCAUGCCAAUGGCACUGCCCGGUAGCUAAAUGCGGAAGAGAUAAGUGCUGAAAGCAUCUAAGCACGAAACUUGCCCCGAGAUGAGUUCUCCCUGAGACUUUAAGUCUCCUGAAGGAACGUU
rnacentral:rRNA from 1 species